GCCGCCGUGGUGAAAUUGGCAGACGCACGGGACUCAAAAUCCCGCGGUAGAGAUACCGUGUCGGUUCGACCCCGACCGGCGGCACCA
rnacentral:tRNA from 1 species